UACGGGGGGGGCAAGCGUUGUUCGGAAUCACUGGGCGUAAAGCGCACGUAGGCGGGUUGCUAAGUCAGGGGUGAAAUCCUGGAGCUCAACUCCAGAACUGCCUUUGAUACUGGCGAUCUCGAGUCCGGGAGAGGUGAGUGGAACUGCGAGUGUAGAGGUGAAAUUCGUAGAUAUUCGCAAGAACACCAGUGGCGAAGGCGGCUCACUGGCCCGGUACUGACGCUGAGGUGCGAAAGCGUGGGGAGCAAACAGG
rnacentral:rRNA from 1 species